rnacentral:rRNA from 1 species
UACGUAGGUGGCGAGCGUUGUCCGGAUUUAUUGGGUUUAAAGGGUGCGUAGGAGGGCAGGUAAGUCAGUGGUGAAAUCUCCAAGCUUAACUUGGAAACUGCCGUUGAUACUAUCUGUCUUGAAUACCGUGGAGGUGAGCGGAAUAUGUCAUGUAGCGGUGAAAUGCUUAGAUAUGACAUAGAACACCAAUUGCGAAGGCAGCUCGCUACACGAAUAUUGACUCUGAGGCACGAAAGCGUGGGGAUCAAACAGG